CUGGUUGGUGGGGUAACGGCCUACCAAGGCGACGAUCGAUAGCUGGUCUCAGAGGAUGAUCAGCCAGACUGGGACUGAGACACGGCCCAGACUCCUACGGGAGGCAGCAGUUAGGAAUUUUGGGCAAUGGGCGCAAGCCUGACCCAGCAACGCCGCGUGGGUGACGAAGGUCUUCGGAUUGUAAAGCCCUUUUCUGAGGGAAGAUGAUGACGGUACCUCAGGAAGAAGCACCGGCUAACUACGUGCCAGCAGCCGCGGUAAUACGUAGGGUGCGAGCGUUGCCCGGAUUUAUUGGGCGUAAAGGGCGCGUAGGCGGUCACGCACGUCCGUUGUGAAAUCGCUCGGCUCAACUGGGCGGGGUCAGCGGAUACGGCGUGGCUGGAGCAAGCUAGGGGGCAAUGGAAUUCCCGGUGUAGUGGUGGAAUGCGUAGAUAUCGGGAGGAACACCAGUGGCGAAGGCGGUUGCCUGGAGCUUUGCUGACGCUGAUGCGCGAAAGCGUGGGGAGCGAUCCGGAUUAGAUACCCGGGUAGUCCACGCCGUAAACGAUGCGGACUAGGUGUCGGGGGUAUCGACCCCCUCGGCGCCGCAGCUAACGCAUUAAGUCCGCCGCCUGGGGACUACGGCCGCAAGGCUAAAACUCAAAGGAAUUGACG
rnacentral:rRNA from 1 species